rnacentral:rRNA from 1 species
CACUAUCGUUAACUGAAUACAUAGGUUAACGAGGCGAACCGGGGGAACUGAAACAUCUAAGUACCCCGAGGAAAAGAAAUCAACCGAGAUUCCCCCAGUAGCGGCGAGCGAACGGGGAGCAGCCCAGAGUCUGAAUCAGCUUGUGUGUUAGUGGAACGGUCUGGAAAGUCCGACGGUACAGGGUGAUAGUCCCGUACACCAAAAUGCACAGGUUGUGAACUCGAAGAGUAGGGCGGGACACGUGGUAUCCUGUCUGAAUAUGGGGGGACCAUCCUCCAAGGCUAAAUACUCCUGACUGACCGAUAGUGAACCAGUACCGUGAGGGAAAGGCGAAAAGAACCCCGGCGAGGGGAGUGAAAAAGAACCUGAAACCGUGUACGUACAAGCAGUGGGAGCACCUUCGGGUGUGACUGCGUACCUUUUGUAUAAUGGGUCAGCGACUUAUAUUCUGUAGCAAGGUUAACCGUAUAGGGGAGCCGCAGGGAAACCGAGUCUUAACUGGGCGUUAAGUUGCAGGGUAUAGACCCGAAACCCGGUGAUCUAGCCAUGGGCAGGUUGAAGGUUGGGUAACACUAACUGGAGGACCGAACCGACUAAUGUUGAAAAAUUAGCGGAUGACUUGUGGCUGGGGGUGAAAGGCCAAUCAAACCGGGAGAUAGCUGGUUCUCCCCGAAAGCUAUUUAGGUAGCGCCUCGUGAACUCAUCUUCGGGGGUAGAGCACUGUUUCGGCUAGGGGGUCAUCCCGACUUACCAACCCGAUGCAAACUACGAAUACCGAAGAAUGUUAUCACGGGAGACACACGGCGGGUGCUAACGUCCGUCGUGAAGAGGGAAACAACCCAGACCGCCAGCUAAGGUCCCAAAGUCAUGGUUAAGUGGGAAACGAUGUGGGAAGGCACAGACAGCCAGGAUGUUGGCUUAGAAGCAGCCAUCAUUUAAAGAAAGCGUAAUAGCUCACUGGUCGAGUCGGCCUGCGCGGAAGAUGUAACGGGGCUAAACCAUGCACCGAAGCUGCGGCAGCGACACUAUGUGUUGUUGGGUAGGGGAGCGUUCUGUAAGCCUGCGAAGGUGACCUGUGAGGGUUGCUGGAGGUAUCAGAAGUGCGAAUGCUGACAUAAGUAACGAUAAAGCGGGUGAAAAGCCCGCUCGCCGGAAGACCAAGGGUUCCUGUCCAACGUUAAUCGGGGCAGGGUGAGUCGACCCCUAAGGCGAGGCCGAAAGGCGUAGUCGAUGGGAAACAGGUUAAUAUUCCUGUACUUGGUGUUACUGCGAAGGGGGGACGGAGAAGGCUAUGUUAGCCGGGCGACGGUUGUCCCGGUUUAAGCAUGUAGGCUGAUUGUCCAGGCAAAUCCGGAUAAUCAAGGCUGAGGUGUGAUGACGAGGCACUACGGUGCUGAAGUAACAAAUGCCCUGCUUCCAGGAAAAGCCUCUAAGCAUCAGGUAACAUCAAAUCGUACCCCAAACCGACACAGGUGGUCAGGUAGAGAAUACCAAGGCGCUUGAGAGAACUCGGGUGAAGGAACUAGGCAAAAUGGUGCCGUAACUUCGGGAGAAGGCACGCUGGUGUGUAGGUGAAGUCCCUGCGGAUGGAGCUGAGACCAGUCGAAGAUACCAGCUGGCUGCAACUGUUUAUUAAAAACACAGCACUGUGCAAACACGAAAGUGGACGUAUACGGUGUGACGCCUGCCCGGUGCCGGAAGGUUAAUUGAUGGGGUUAUCCGUAAGGAGAAGCUCUUGAUCGAAGCCCCGGUAAACGGCGGCCGUAACUAUAACGGUCCUAAGGUAGCGAAAUUCCUUGUCGGGUAAGUUCCGACCUGCACGAAUGGCGUAAUGAUGGCCAGGCUGUCUCCACCCGAGACUCAGUGAAAUUGAACUCGCUGUGAAGAUGCAGUGUACCCGCGGCAAGACGGAAAGACCCCGUGAACCUUUACUAUAGCUUGACACUGAACAUUGAGCCUUGAUGUGUAGGAUAGGUGGGAGGCUUUGAAGCGUGGACGCCAGUCUGCGUGGAGCCAACCUUGAAAUACCACCCUUUAAUGUUUGAUGUUCUAACGUUGGCCCCUUACCGGGGUUGCGGACAGUGUCUGGUGGGUAGUUUGACUGGGGCGGUCUCCUCCCAAAGCGUAACGGAGGAGCACGAAGGUUAGCUAAUCCUGGUCGGACAUCAGGAGGUUAGUGCAAUGGCAUAAGCUAGCUUGACUGCGAGCGUGACGGCGCGAGCAGGUGCGAAAGCAGGUCAUAGUGAUCCGGUGGUUCUGAAUGGAAGGGCCAUCGCUCAACGGAUAAAAGGUACUCCGGGGAUAACAGGCUGAUACCGCCCAAGAGUUCAUAUCGACGGCGGUGUUUGGCACCUCGAUGUCGGCUCAUCACAUCCUGGGGCUGAAGUAGGUCCCAAGGGUAUGGCUGUUCGCCAUUUAAAGUGGUACGCGAGCUGGGUUUAGAACGUCGUGAGACAGUUCGGUCCCUAUCUGCCGUGGGCGCUGGAGAAUUGAGGGGGGCUGCUCCUAGUACGAGAGGACCGGAGUGGACGCAUCACUGGUGUUCGGGUUGUCAUGCCAAUGGCACUGCCCGGUAGCUAAAUGCGGAAGAGAUAAGUGCUGAAAGCAUCUAAGCACGAAACUUGCCCCGAGAUGAGUUCUCCCUGAGACUUUAAGUCUCCUGAAGGAACGUUAAAGACGAUGACGUUGAUAGGCCGGGUGUGUAAGCGCAGCGAUGCGUUGAGCUAACCGGUACUAAUGAACCGUGAGGCUUAACCUU